rnacentral:piRNA from 1 species
UCCCUUGAGGGAUCAGGUAGCUGGUGAGG